CAACUCCCUUUUUCUUCCCUUAGCUUUCCCUGCGUCGCCCCCUCAAAAAAAAAACCAUUCCUGCGUCAUCAAUCGAGCUUCCUCAUAGAGUCGUCGUUGGUUCUGGCCUCCUCGCCAGUCGCCGGUGGGUCUCUUUUCUCGCCUCCUCUCCAGGUCGUCAUAGCAGAUGAGUCGCAUUAUUUGAAGAAUGCUCAAGCAAAGAGGACAUUUGCCUCUCUUCCGGUUAUAGAGAAAGCGCAGUAUGCAAUUGAGAUUCGUAUUAACAUGAAUCUGGCGCAAAGCGUAUGAAGAUAAUUGGAGUGAUGGGCCUGAAGACUUGACAGGUCAUUCUCGGUUUGGAGUCAGCUUGAUCACCUCUUGCUGCUUGCAGUAUAGUACAACUUUGAUUGAUAAAGAAGUUGAAGUGCUCAUACGUCUUGUAGUAGGAGAGUUGAGAGAUCUCCAGAACUUUGGUUGACUUACUGGUGUUGAGGUAUACUCAUGGUCUCUUGUUUUUUUUUCCUGAAAGCUCUUGUUUUUUUGGUGUCUCUCUUGCUGUAGCU